GAAGACACGUACACACAGUACGUGUGUGUGUGCUGUACUCAUCGCCAAAUGGCAGCCAAGUUUAGCUCAUGGAAGCAAGUCGGGUUUUGUUCCGCAGCUCGGUCGCCGGCAUCGGACUCGAACAGCGAUGCUGGUGCUAUCAUAGGAGCAUGCAGUUCCAUGAGCCUUUGGCUCAAGUCGUCUUCUUCACGGUGCAAGCUUCGGAUCUGGUUGCUGAAACCUGCAUGUAGA
rnacentral:lncRNA from 1 species